CUACGGGAGGCAGCAGUGGGGAAUGUUGGACAAUGGGCGAAAGCCUGGUCCAGCAAUGCCGCGUGAGUGAUGAAGGCCCUAGGGUUGUAAAGCUCUUUUACCCGGGAUGAUAAUGACAGUACCGGGAGAAUAAGCUCCGGCUAACUCCGUGCCAGCAGCCGCGGUAAUACGGAGGGAGCUAGCGUUGUUCGGAAUUACUGGGCGUAAAGCGCACGUAGGCGGCUAUUCAAGUCAGGGGUGAAAUCCCGGGGCUCAACCUCGGAACUGCCCUUGAAACUGGAUGGCUAGAAUCCUGGAGAGGCGAGUGGAAUUCCGAGUGUAGAGGUGAAAUUCGUAGAUAUUCGGAAGAACACCAGUGGCGAAGGCGACUCGCUGGACAGGUAUUGACGCUGAGGUGCGAAAGCGUGGGGAGCAAACAGGAUUAGAAACCCGGGUAGUCC
rnacentral:rRNA from 1 species